CCUACGGGAGGCAGCAGUGGGGAAUAUUGCACAAUGGGGGAAACCCUGAUGCAGCGACGCCGCGUGAGUGAAGAAGUAAUUCGUUAUGUAAAGCUCUAUCAGCAGGGAAGAAAAUGACGGUACCUGAGUAAGAAGCCCCGGCUAACUACGUGCCAGCAGCCGCGGUAAUACGUAGGGGGCAAGCGUUAUCCGGAUUUACUGGGUGUAAAGGGAGCGUAGACGGCAGUGCAAGUCUGGAGUGAAAGGCGGGGGCUCAACCCCCGGACUGCUCUGGAAACGGUACGGCUGGAGUGCAGGAGAGGUAAGUGGAAUUCCUAGUGUAGCGGUGAAAUGCGGAGAUAUUAGGAGGAACACCAGUGGCGAAGGCGGCUUACUGGACUGUAACUGACGUUGAGGCUCGAAAGCGUGGGGAGCAAACAGGAUUAGAUACCCCAGUAGUC
rnacentral:rRNA from 1 species